AUGCCCAUUGGAAACUGGAAACGCUUUUGCUCGCAUAUGUCAUCAUCCAUCGGUAGACAGCGGCAGCAGAUCACCACCAGUAGGCGUAGGCGGAGACAACUGAGGUCUAGGCAACUAGAAGACAGGUGUUGGGACGAGAAUGGCUGCCCGCAUUUUCCACCACCUAAGCCAAAUGCUCUUAGAGCUCAAGUUGCAAUACCAGAGAUAGAGGCACCUACUGAUCCCACUAAUGAUUCAGUCAUUCUGAGCAGGGCUGAAAUGAUGAAUUACAAUCUCUUCACCUAUCCAGCACCAAUUUUCCCAUGGUUGGUGUUGCUUGUCGGUAGCAUGGAUGAUGGUUUAACUCAUUAAAGUAGUAUGUGGUUUAUUGAUUCAGGAGCAUCCAGAUAUUUAUGUGGAAAUUGAAAUUCAUCUUCCAAAGAAAGAAAGUGGAGGGAAAAUGAUGUUCAGAAAUACGUAUUAGGUGACAACCAGAGCUGGACCAACAGACAGAGAUUCUUCAAUAUCAUAAACUUGAGGGCACCAGGCUUACCAAGAACUCACUCAAGAAAAGCCUCAAAUUAGAGGUGCAUAAACAUGCAUUGCUGAAACUUUAAACAGUACAGAAUAACAGGCCUUAUAGCCGUAAGCAAGGAACUCAAGUCCCUCAUUUAUAGAAGAAAAGAAAACAAGAAGGAUAAAGGAGCUGGCUGUUGGGCCAGCUCCAAAGCAAGAACAAUGAAGAAUCCAACAGAAACAUUAUUUCCUUUGACUACCAAGAACUUGGACAGAUAAAACCAAGGUGCCCAAAGCUGAAAAGGUUUGAAAAAACAGCAACUGCAGCUAAAGUUGUGAUGCAAUUGGAUCUAUUAGAGGUUUUUUGCUGGCUCAACUAACCAAAGCUCUACAACCAUAUUUAAAAGAAGCUACUCUAACAAUAGGAGGAGUUGCCUCUAGACUAACUUGCCAAUUGAUAAGGUGCUUUUUCCCUUACAAUAUUUUUGGUUCACCCUCUUCUUCUUUACAUUUCAAUCUGUGUCAAACAUAUAAACUUUUUAUAUUAGAUAGUUUAGUUAUGUGCAGUUUUAAAUUGGUUAGCUCUGGCCAGUUCGGCUAACUGAGCCGAAUGUGCUAUGUCAGAGAAGCACCCGCACCAGCGCAAAUGUCUACAUGGAUGUGACAGGAGUGCGGCAGCCAUUUAGGAGCACCCAUGUGAUACAGAUUUCAAUAUUGACUUACUAUGGUGUCAAUAACAUUUUCAGGGAUUGAAAAUCUUUUAGCAACAGUCAAUCCUCUUUCUUUUUCUAGACUAUAUGCCCUUUUAAAUAUCUAAGCAUAAUAAUUUUAAAUCCACAAAAGCCCAACAACCUACAGGCAGUUAUGAAGCGAUAUGAACAAAUAAAAAAAUAGUAUAAUACAAGUUAACAAUGUUGACAUGGCAGUCAUAUGGAAAACACUUGAAUAUCCUAUUAUAUCAGCUUUUUAAGCUACAAUAAUGACACAAUUUUCAACAAUCAAAAUGAUGGUUGAUGAACAGCUAUUAGAGCAUAAGUUAGAAGAACACAAAGUCUGGUGCAUUAAGUUCUUCGAAAGCACAAAAUUGGAAACAUAGAUAUGAUAAUAAUAAUAUCAAAACUAGCUCUGAGAUAUUAAAAAAAAAAAAAGAAGACUACCUUGAUUGUAGCAAAGGUUGCCACCUUCAUAAGACAAGCUGUCCCAGUAUUCCCCUAUAGCAAAUGCAGGGUUUGAAGCUUCAAUAUACUCUUUCACAUAAUGACCUGAAAAUCCC